ACGGGGUGCAGCAGGCGCGAAACCUCCGCAAUGCUCGAAAGAGCGACGGGGGGACCCCCAGUGCCGUGGCAUCGCCACGGCUUUUCCGGAGUGUAAAGAGCUCCGGGAAUAAGGGCUGGGCAAGGCCGGUGGCAGCCGCCGCGGUAAUACCGGCGGCCCGAGUGGUGGCCGCUAUUAUUGGGCCUAAAGCGUCCGUAGCCGGGCCAGUAAGUCCCUGGCGAAAUCCCACGGCUCAACCGUGGGGCUUGCUGGGGAUACUGCUGGCCUUGGGACCGGGAGAGGCGGAGGGUACUCCUGGGGUAGGGGUGAAAUCCUAUAAUCCCAGGAGGACCGCCAGUGGCGAAGGCGCUCCGCUAGAACGGGUCCGACGGUGAGGGACGAAGGCCAGGGGAGCGAACCGGAUUAGAUACCCGGGUAGUCCUGGCUGUAAAGGAUGCGGGCUAGGUGUCGGGUGAGCUUCGAGCUCGCCCGGUGCCGAAGGGAAGCCGUUAAGCCCGCCAGCCAUGGGGAA
rnacentral:rRNA from 1 species